rnacentral:lncRNA from 1 species
GUAAAUUUUUCCGAAGUCAGCUACCGCCGGAAAGCUGACAAAGUGCAAACUGUUGGUUUCUCCAUGAAAACAAACCUAUUACAAGACGCUGGUUGCUUCCAGUUGGGCUCUGACAAAGCUUGGCGUGGCACUGCCAUAGGCCCUUCUGGAGGAAACUGCUAGCAGACAAACUUGUCAGUCAAGAUGUGACAUGGGUGACACUAGCAGAGGGGCUGCAUUCUUUGGUGCAUCUUGGAAGAGGAAGAUGGGGCCACACCUGUGCAGUUUGCCUUUUCACCAGAACUGGAAGCAGGGACUGGUGUCUGAUACUGUGAAGAAGAGGUACCGUGUAUUCAUAGAGGUUUUGUGGAGGGAAGAUUCAUCAAGGAGUGGAAACACCCAAGCACUGAAGAAUGCCAGACAAAAUUCAGGUAAGGCAAGGGUUAAAAUGAUUUUUAAACUACUUCCUCAUAUCAAUUGGAUUUAGGGCUAUAUGGAAGGACAAAGCGAUGUGCC